rnacentral:rRNA from 1 species
UACGUAGGGCGCGAGCGUUGUCCGGAAUUAUUGGGCGUAAAGAGCUCGUAGGCGGCCUGUUGCGUCCGCUGUGAAAUCCCAGGGCUUAACCCUGGGCGUGCAGUGGAUACGGGCAGGCUGGAGGCAGGCAGGGGAGAACGGAAUUCCCGGUGUAGCGGUGAAAUGCGCAGAUAUCGGGAGGAGCACCGGUGGCGAAGGCGGUUCUCUGGGCCUGUGCUGACGCUGAGGAGCGAAAGCGUGGGGAGCGAACAGG